rnacentral:rRNA from 1 species
UACGUAGGGGGCAAGCGUUGUCCGGAGUUACUGGGCGUAAAGGGCCCGCAGGCGGUCACGCAAGUUUGUACUGACAAUCCCUUGCUUAACGAGGGAGGGCGUAUGAAAACUGCGCGACUUGAGGAUGAGAGAGGGACAGGGAAUUCCGGGUGGAGUGGUGAAAUGCGUAGAUAUCCGGAGGAACCCCGAAGGCGAAGGCACUGUCCUGGCUCAUUCCUGACGCUCAGGGGCGAAAGCCAGGGGAGCGAACGGG